rnacentral:rRNA from 1 species
UACAGAGGUCCCAAGCGUUGUUCGGAUUCACUGGGCGUAAAGGGUGCGUAGGUGGCUGGGAAAGUUUGAUGUGAAAGCUCAGGGCUUAACCCUGAAAUGGCAUUGAAUACUGCCUGGCUGGAGGUUUGGAGGGGGGGACUGGAAUUCUUGGUGUAGCAGUGAAAUGCGUAGAUAUCAAGAGGAACACCAGUGGCGAAGGCGAGUCCCUGGACAACACCUGACACUGAGGCACGAAAGCCGGGGGAGCAAACAGG